UCUCCUUGUGAGCAUAACAAGGACUCACGUAGGUGGGACAGAACACCAUAGCUCAGUUCUCAGCUGCAGAGGCCUUGCAGAUGAGCUAUGGAUUGAAUCUAUAGCUCCAUUCUUGGCUACAAUGGCAUUCCAGAAAGGUCUCUGACUGCAAAAUGCAGGCCUGGGGAUGCCACAGAAGAAGUGGGCCAGCGAGGAGAAGCCUGGCUGCAAGCCACCCAUGGUCUUACAUGCUGUUUGAAAGGGCCUUCAUUCUCCAUUGCAAAAAAUUGAGAGGCCCAAAGAAAGAAGAAAAAAUCAGCAAAAAUCACAUCUUCCCUUUCUCCCUUCCCAAUUCUGAGAGCCAGAAAUGGUUUGUUCCACUGGCAGCACUCAUAAAAUCUCCAGAUGCACUCAUAAAGUAUUAGAAAACAAAAUGAGAUAAAUAACAAUCAUUUUUUGAUAGUCA